GUGCUCAUUUCAGCAGCACAUAUACUAAAAUUGGAGCAGAUUAAAAUUGGAGCAGAUUAAAAUUGGAGAAGAUUAACAUGGCUCCUGAGUGAGGAUGACACAAAAAUUCAUGAAAGUGUUCCAUAUUUUU
rnacentral:snRNA from 1 species